rnacentral:rRNA from 1 species
GAUGAACGCUGGCGGCGUGCUUAAGACAUGCAAGUCGAACGAAGAGCUUGUAGCAAUACGGGCUCUUAGUGGCGAAUGGGUGCGUAACACGUAGGUGACCUGCCCUGAAGUGGGGAAUAACAGUCCGAAAGGACUGCUAAUACCCCAUGUGGUCCUGGAGGUUAGAGGCUCCAGGUCUAAAGCAGCAAUGCGCUUCAGGAGGGGCCUGCGGCCCAUCAGCUAGUUGGCAGGGUAACGGCCUACCAAGGCAACGACGGGUAGGGGACCUGAGAGGGUGACCCCC